UACGUAGGGUGCAAGCGUUAAUCGGAAUUACUGGGCGUAAAGCGCACGUAGGCGGCUUUGCAAGUCGGAUGUGAAAUCCCUCGGCUUAACCAAGGAAGUGCAUCCGAAACUGCAGAGCUUGAGUACUUAAGAGGAUCGCGGAAUUCCCGGUGUAGAGGUGAAAUUCGUAGAUAUCGGGAGGAACACCAGUGGCGAAGGCGGCGAUCUGGGAAGAUACUGACGCUGAGGUGCGAAAGCGUGGGGAGCAAACAGG
rnacentral:rRNA from 1 species